AACGCAUGAUGGGAGCUUGCUCCUGGAUUAGUGGCGAACGGGUGAGUAACACGUGAGUAACCUGCCCUUAACUCUGGGAUAAGCCUGGGAAACUGGGUCUAAUACCGGAUAUGACUCCUCAUCGCAUGGUGGGGGGUGGAAAGCUUUAUUGUGGUUUUGGAUGGACUCGCGGCCUAUCAGCUUGUUGGUGAGGUAAUGGCUUACCAAGGCGACGACGGGUAGCCGGCCUGAGAGGGUGACCGGCCACACUGGGACUGAGACACGGCCCAGACUCCUACGGGAGGCAGCAGUGGGGAAUAUUGCACAAUGGGCGCAAGCCUGAUGCAGCGACGCCGCGUGAGGGAUGACGGCCUUCGGGUUGUAAACCUCUUUCAGUAGGGAAGAAGCGAAAGUGACGGUACCUGCAGAAGAAGCGCCGGCUAACUACGUGCCAGCAGCCGCGGUAAUACGUAGGGCGCAAGCGUUAUCCGGAAUUAUUGGGCGUAAAGAGCUCGUAGGCGGUUUGUCGCGUCUGCCGUGAAAGUCCGGGGCUCAACUCCGGAUCUGCGGUGGGUACGGGCAGACUAGAGUGAUGUAGGGGAGACUGGAAUUCCUGGUGUAGCGGUGAAAUGCGCAGAUAUCAGGAGGAACACCGAUGGCGAAGGCAGGUCUCUGGGCAUUAACUGACGCUGAGGAGCGAAAGCAUGGGGAGCGAACAGGAUUAGAUACCCUGGUAGUCCAUGCCGUAAACGUUGGGCACUAGGUGUGGGGGACAUUCCACGUUUUCCGCGCCGUAGCUAACGCAUUAACGUGCCCGCCUGCGGAGUACGGCCGCUCGCUCACACUCA
rnacentral:rRNA from 1 species